rnacentral:rRNA from 1 species
CCUACGGGAGGCAGCAGUGGGGAAUCUUGCGCAAUGGGCGAAAGCCUGACGCAGCCAUGCCGCGUGAAUGAUGAAGGUCUUAGGAUUGUAAAAUUCUUUCACCGAGGACGAUAAUGACGGUACUCGGAGAAGAAGCCCCGGCUAACUUCGUGCCAGCAGCCGCGGUAAUACGAAGGGGGCUAGCGUUGCUCGGAAUUACUGGGCGUAAAGGGAGCGUAGGCGGAUAGUUUAGUCAGAGGUGAAAGCCCAGGGCUCAACCUUGGAAUUGCCUUUGAUACUGGCUAUCUUGAGUACGGAAGAGGUAUGUGGAACUCCGAGUGUAGAGGUGAAAUUCGUAGAUAUUCGGAAGAACACCAGUGGCGAAGGCGACAUACUGGUCCGUUACUGACGCUGAGGCUCGAAAGCGUGGGGAGCAAACAGGAUUAGAUACCCUGGUAGUCCACGCUGUAAACGAUGAGUGCUAGUUGUCGGCAUGCAUGCAUGUCGGUGACGCAGCUAACGCAUUAAGCACUCCGCCGUCGGGAGGUACGGUCGCGAAGAAUUAAAACUUAAAAUUAAGUAAGUUAGUACGGCGUGAGACGUGCCGAACGGACGACGACGAGGGAGGUUAGG